rnacentral:snRNA from 1 species
CUCCUGCCUCCCCAAAUGUGGGAAACUCGACUGCAUAAUUUGUGGUAGUGGGGGACUGCGUUCGCGCUUUCCCCUGG